rnacentral:rRNA from 1 species
GAUGAACGCUGGCGGCGUGCCUAAUACAUGCAAGUCGAGCGAACGGACGAGAAGCUUGCUUCUCUGAUGUUAGCGGCGGACGGGUGAGUAACACGUGGAUAACCUACCUAUAAGACUGGGAUAACUUCGGGAAACCGGAGCUAAUACCGGAUGAUAUUUUGAACCGCAUGGUUCAAAAGUGAAAGACGGUCUUGCUGUCACUUAUAGAUGGAUCCGCGCUGCAUUAGCUAGUUGGUAAGGUAACGGCUUACCAAGGCAACGAUGCAUAGCCGACCUGAGAGGGUGAUCGGACACACUGGAAGUGAGACACGGUCCAGACUCCUACGGGAGGAAGCAGUAGGGAAUCUUCCGCGAUGGGCGAAAGCCUGACGGAGCAACGCCGCGUGAGUGAUGAAGGUCUUCGGAUCGUAAAACUCUGUUAUUAGGGAAGAACAUAUGUGUAAGUAACUGUGCACAUCUUGACGGUACCUAAUCAGAAAGCCACGGCUAACUACGUG